rnacentral:rRNA from 1 species
AUGGCCACCUGCCUCUCAGACAUGAUUAGUGACCAUUCUCUAGAUUUUAUUGGUUUGCGAGAAACUAUGAAGAAUUUUUUUACUCCUAAAUGCAUUAGGAUAAUUGACCCUUUUGGUCUAUUCCAUUGGGAAUGGAUUCCAUCUGUUGGGAAGUCUGGUGGCAUUUUAGGAGGAGUGAGGCAAGAUACUAUGGAAAUCACUUCUUGUACCAAAAGGAAAUAUGUUUUGCAGUUAAACCUGCAUGAUAAAAGAAGAAAGCUGACUGGGGCCUGCUGGGGUCUAUGGGCAGCCCAUGAGGAGUUUAAAGAGGAAUUCUUAAUAGAGCUUGCUGCUAGUUGUAGUAGCAUGAUUGUACCUUAUAUUGUGGGGGGUGAUUUCAAUGUCUUGCGCCAUGGUGAUGAGAAAAACAAAAAGAUGCAGAAUAAUAGAGCUACUGACAUCUUCAACUCCAUCAUCAAUGCUUUGGCCCUUAGAGAGAUAUAUAUCAGUGGGGGGAAAUACACUUGGACUAACAACAAAGCCCAUCCUACCCUAGAAAAACUGGACCGCAUCUUGAUGUCUGAAGGUUGGGAGGAUCUUUUUCCUAUGGUCUCUGUCGGGAAAUUGGUUCGGGAAAUUUCAGACCACAACCCUUUGCUUGUCUCU